rnacentral:rRNA from 1 species
CAGCCGCCACGGUAAUACAGAGGGUGCGAGCGUUAAUCGGAUUUACUGGGCGUAAAGCGUGCGUAGGCGGUGAGUUAAGUCUGCUGUGAAAUCCCCGGGCUCAACCUGGGAAUGGCAGUGGAUACUGGCUCGCUAGAGUGUGUCAGAGGAUGGUGGAAUUCCCGGUGUAGCGGUGAAAUGCGUAGAGAUCGGGAGGAACAUCAGUGGCGAAGGCGGCCAUCUGGGACAACACUGACGCUGAGGCACGAAAGCGUGGGGAGCAAACAGGAUUAGAUACCCCAGUAGUCCCUGUCUCUUAUAC